GAUGUGACCUUUCCAGGCUCAGUGGAGCAGCCGUCUGAAGGUCCAUGUAAAGGUGAUCUAGGCCUGCAGUGGGGCCCUGGCGUCGGGGAAGGCGUCCGCCCGUCUGUUCGGAUAUUCUGUGCAGUGGCUGGCUGAAUGUAGGAAUAACAUGGAUGCUGUUGCUGCCUCAGUUCUGCGCCAUCAUGGAAGACUGGGAUAGGAACAUAACCUGGGCGAAGAAUGGGGUGCUUCAUCUCCCUCACAAAGGUCUUCUGCGUCUCCUGAGGGCUUGGUUCUGGUGCUGUGGAGAAAGUGACCACAUUCACUCCUGCUGACUGGGAAAUCUCCUCACCUGAUAUUCCUGGGACUUCCUGGAGCCCCAUCGGUCGCAUCAUUGCGUCCCUGGAGCACAACCUGAGAACAAUGUGUAUUAGAAAAGGGAAUCCCAAGCCUUUUCAUAAUAAAAGGUUACCCAAAUAGAUGUA